rnacentral:rRNA from 2 species
UACAGAGGUCCCAAGCGUUGUUCGGAUUCACUGGGCGUAAAGGGUGCGUAGGCGGGCAGGUAAGUCAGUGGUGAAAUCUCCGGGCUUAACCCGGAAACUGCCGUUGAUACUAUCUGUCUUGAAUAUCGUGGAGGUAAGCGGAAUAUGUCAUGUAGCGGUGAAAUGCUUAGAUAUGACAUAGAACACCCAUUGCGAAGGCAGCUUACUACACGAUCAUUGACGCUGAGGCACGAAAGCGUGGGGAGCAAACAGG